UUCUUAUUAUGUGCCAAACACAUGUUUGCAGCAAUUUCAGCAUCAUUGAUAAUUGAAUUAAAAGCGACACUCGGGACACCUGGGUGGCUCAGUGGUUGAGCAACUGCCCUUGGCUCAGGGCAUGAUCCAGCAGUUCCGGAAUCAAGUCCUUCAUUAGGCUCCCUGCAUGGAGCCUGCUUCUCCCUCUGCCUCUGCCUCUGCCUCUGCCUCUGUCUCUGUCUCUCUCUUUCUGUGUCUCUCAUGAAUAAAUAAAAUCUUAAAAAAAAAAAUAAAAGCGACACUAGCACUGUCUAUUAGCUGUAUCUGAAGAGGAGCAUAGUGGCACUCACUGUGCCCUGCAGUGGGAUUUGACCUUCAGGCCUGUUCCAUUCCUGUUAAUCCCAAAUCCAGAAGGAAUGUCUAAGCUGGUGGUGGCUGGUCUAGAGUAUACUGUGUAUUGGGAUGGUUUCUUUAUGAGUGUCAGUUGCAAUUCUUCUGGCAGAGGAUUAAACUUGAGCCCCCAAACAUGACCUGAUCCAGCAGAAUUUGCUUUUUCUGAAUUGGUGGAUUUUUCUACUGAGGCAGCAGAAGGAAGUCAGGCAGAGAAAAAAAGGUGAAGAAAUUAGCUUUUCCCUGUAUGAAGGGGACUUCGUCAUGGGGCUUGGUAUCUGAACCACAGACUUGACCAUGGAUUGCUAUCUUUGAAAGACUCAGGACAUCAUUUGGUGGUUUCAAAGAUCAGAUCUAUGAUUUAGGGAAAGGUAAAUGGAAAGACAAUGACUCAUGGAGAAAUAGAGAUAGUGAUAGACAUUUCGAACCAAAAGGUAAAGCAGGUUUAUUGUGACCUUUAUUUUUCACCCUGAAACUUUAUACAAAAUUCUAGUUGUUUCUGUUCAAGGGAUCUUCUUUUGUAGGAUAAAUUGCCAGGCAGUUCUCCAGAGUCCUCCAAACACUGGCAUCAGGAUCUAGUAAGGGAGGGCUGCUAUAACUGUUAUGCAUGAAAAGAGAGAAGCCAGCUCCCACUGUAUGUCAACCCAACAAAGAGCAGUGGAAUCCAGAAGAUGAAGUGUGUGGUAGUCGAGGCAUCAUUUUCAUUGAAAGAGAAGAGACAGAAUGAUGAUUCAAGGAACCAGACUUUUGUGCAUGUUAUUGUUCUCUCAGAAGGAAGAGCACAAAGUCGUAUCCAAUGCUGUCAUUUACUAAUACCUCUCCUUCUUGAAGUCACACUGUCUGAUCUUAGUUCUCUUACUUCAGGUAACAGAUGGCAGAUGUGGAUUGAGCCUACCUGUCCACAAGCCUGGAGCUCUUUUUGAUUUCAGGGGUACCUUAGUCUCUAUCUCUAUACCUACCACCUGUCCUCGACAUUGCAAUGUUGAGAGAGGAAGACAGAGACUAAUUUGUAAAUUUGCAAUCUUGUGCCCUCUUCAAUUUGAGAGUAGGGAGGAAGAAUUAUAUAGUAAUCACCUAACUUUUAAUGUAAAUCACAUUUAAAAAUUCUGGGUGAAAAUGUCACUUAUCAAAAUGGGUUCUUCUUAUCACAGUCCAAUAUUUUAUCUUAGUUCUCAGCACUCUCAGGAUUUUACUAUUCUACGAAAGCCGUGGGUUUGGGAGAAGGAAAACAGAAGGUUUUUGUAGCAGAGCUAAGGCAGAGGUUGCUGCACUGACAAAGCAGAAGCCAUGUUUGAAAGUAUGGAGAAAGAAGGGCACUAAUAACUGCUCUAAACAUCCAGGCACAGCACACAGUUCUGGUCUGGGACUGAAUUGGUACCAUGUGCGGUGGAAAGCAUAUAGGCUUUUCAGUCAGACUAAAUCUUAGUUUCAUACUUAAAUAAAAGGUGUAUAGCUUUGAGCAAGUUGAUUUAUCCUUUUGUUCUCAAACUUUAGCAUGUGUUAGAAUCCUCUAGAAAGGGCUGUAUUUACACAGAUUCCAGGGCUCUGUGUGACAUUUCUGAUUUAGUAAAUCCGAGGUGGGACUCAAGAAUUUGCGUUUGUAGCAAGUUCCUAGACUUUGAAAAGCAUCAGAGUAACCCAGAGUCUCAAUCUCUUCAUUUAUGAGAUGGUGCUAAGGUUUAAAAUAACAUCUAGUCUGUAUGGAGCACUUGCCAUGUGCCAGCAUGUUACAAGUUUAUACCAUUUCGUUCUCCUAGAGUAGGUUCACUAUCACAGAGGUAGUAACUGAGACAUGGAGAGUUUGCCUAACGUCAAACACCUAAGAAACAACUGGGGCAGAAUUUGAACCCGGGCAGUCUGGGGACCAGAGCCUAUGCUCUUAACCAUGCCUCUAGGCCAAGUUUUGAAAUUAAAUGGAAUCAUAUUUAAGGUACCUGUUACCGUGUCUGGCUUGUUUCAUACACAUAGCAACCGGUGGUAAUUUUAAGUUGUUCUCUCUUGAACCAACUCAGGGGCAAAAAAUAAUAAGGAACAGAGUACAGGCAGGUGAAGUGCCUGUUUUCGCAGCAGCUUCUUCUAUCAUAAGAUGUCAGGCUGGUGGUUUUGCUUCGUUUGCCUAAUUGAAGCAGUCAUACAGAGAGAGAGAGAGAGGCAGAGACACAGGCAGAGGGAGAAGCAGGCUCCAUGCACCGGGAGCCCGACGUGGGAUUCGAUCCCGGGUCUCCAGGAUCGCGCCCGGGCCAAAGGCAGGCGCCAAACCGCUGCGCCACCCAGGGAUCCCAAGUUGUCACUUUUCUGAAGAAGAAAGUAGAACCUUUAUGUUUAGAAGCUUGUAGACCUCAACAAACACCAAACUGAACUUUGAAUUAAAAAAAAUUCCCCUGGUUCAGUGUUUUAAUAAGUGUCAUCAUCGCCAGGAAACACAUGACUUAUUAUCAGAGAUCCAGUGAUGGAUAUCUUCUGUCCUUGACUCUAUUUGGGAAAGAAUGCCUUUCAACUCAAACUCGACCUACAGCUUUGCCUCUCUGAUAUUUCUUCAUUUGCACCUUAAAAGGGUUAGUCAUAUAGUGCAAACACAUUUAGUGAAACUUAUAUUGCAAAAAUCUGACACGUAUAAAAAGAAGGAAAUAAACCCAAAUCCCAUUAUUUGUGGUUGUAAUUGGAACUAUUCCAGUUACUCAGGAUGGAACUCCUGUUCCCUUGAGAAGGCAAUAUGGAUUACCAAAGAUAAGAAUGUGAUGAAUGGGGACAUGGCUUUUAUUUCUGUGACUGUGACUAUGAAGUAAACAAGCAUAUAUUCAUACACACGUGCACUUCUGUAGAUCUACAUCAUACACCUUUCUUCCAGUUAUUACAUAUUGAAAACUAGAAGGGGAAAUCCAGAAUGGAAAACGUAAUUGACAAAAUUGGACUCUUUUCACCAGGAAGAACAACUGCGUCUCUCUGGCCAGGCUACAAGGCUCUGAGCAAGUUGUCCCAGCCCUGUGUGGACUGCAUUUUCCCACCUACGCCCCUGACCUGCAGAAGGGGACCUUGUGAGGCUUAUCAGGACAAUGUUAGCAAAUGCACGUAGAGCCCGCUGGUAGGAGGCAGCACUGGAAAUCACAGCACCAUUAUGUUUGGCACUUUGGAUAAUCUAAGGUCUAUCUAACUUCUCUGACUAAAGCUUCCUAUACAUAAAAACAUAAAUAUCAGAUCUUAGUGCCUGUAAAAAUUCCAUUGCCAGGUACUGCUCUGUAUUCAUCAGCUGGAGACCUUUGAUGUUUUCAAUCUGCAAAGUUUCUAAUCUUUCUGAGAAGUAAACGAAGCACUCAUUCCUCUACCGUUUA